UAGAGAGAGACAUGCGCGCAUAUCAAUAAGCGGAGGAAAAGAAACUAACAAGGAUUCCCCUAGUAACGGCGAGUGAAGCGGGAAGAGCUCAAAUUUGAAAUCUUAAAGGGUUUCCCUUUACGAAUUGUAGUUUAAAGAAGUGUUUUCUGUUGAGGUUUUGGUAAAAGUUCUUUGGAAUAGGACAUCAUAGAGGGUGAGAAUCCCGUAUUUAACCUUUACUUUCAACUUUGUGAUACACUUUCAAAGAGUCGGAUUGUUUGGGAAUGCAGUCCAAAAUGGGUGGUAAAUUUCAUCUAAAGGCUAAAUAUUGGCGAGAGACCGAUAGCGAACAAGUACCGUGAGGGAAAGAUGAAAAGAACUUUGAAAAGAGAGUUAAACAGUACGUGAAAUUGUCAAAAGGGAAGCGUUUGACACCAGUGUUGUUUUUCUGAAAAUCAAUUAAAGAACUGUUUAUGCUAAGCUGUUUAGACUUUAUCAGCUAUCUGUUUAGUUUUGAGCUUUUCUUUAAUGCACUUUUCAGUUAACAAGUCAACAUCAAUUUCUUUUGCUGUAAAAAAGCUUGAGGAAGGUGGCUUGAGAUUCGUCUUAAGUGUUUAUAGCCUCUUGCCUAUGCAGUCGGAGAGAUUGAGGUCUGCAGCGUAGAUCCUUCGGGGCUAAAUGCAUUUGUGCUAAGUUAUAGCAUUUUAUAGACAACUUGUUGACUAUGAUUUGUCUUGUAGCUUACUCGCUUAUGUUAUUUUACCUACGCUUAGGAUGUUGACGCAUGAGAUAUACGC
rnacentral:rRNA from 1 species